rnacentral:lncRNA from 1 species
CAUGUUUGUGAAUACCAACCUAGGAUAUACUUGACAGCAGAAACAGAAUACUUGAAAUUAGGACUUAGUAAUUUUGAUUUGUCAGAGGUCACACAAUUGCAAAGUGGCCACGGUGAGUGCCCGGUCUUCCAUCGCCAAGUGCAGGACUCUGUUGCUACACCCAGUCCCACUUUAACUCAGAAAGCUGAUAAUGAGUUUCCAGGUAGAAAAUGAGCUGUAGUUGGCAUCCUCAAAUACUAAAAUAAUUGGUACUCAGUAAUAAAAGCUGUGAGUGCAUGUGGUCAAGAGAUCGAGAUUUUGCUAGAGUGAUGAAUGGAGUCAUGAUUCCAGGGAACAGAUUCAAGAUCUGAUUUGGAGGCAGGACCAAGAGAAUGAUUCCAUGGACACGUAUGUGUGUGUACAGUUAAAAGAUCCUGAGACUCCAGUGUAUGACCUUUUCCAAGCUUUGCUUGCCUGGCUGGCAGUCAGGUUACUAUGGGUCAGGGCCUGGAGGCUUCAUCGGCUGUUUUCCCCUGGGGGACAGAAUGAGACCUCAUAAUGAAAAACUGGUGGAGACACAGCCUAGGUUUACACAGUCUUAGAUUAAUUCCACAGCCUGAAUAAUCUGGAGGAAAAGGUGAACUAGAUCAGAGAAAGUCCUAACACUCUAAGAGGAAAUGCAUGGAAUCUAUGCAAGCAAGCACAGAAAAAUAAGCUUUACAUCCAAAUAAACAAGGAAAAAUUUUGAAGGGUAAAACGACAAAUUCAAUCAACUGCACAGUGGCUUCAUGAAGGACAAGCAUGUGUCUUCCAAGGAGGUCUGAUCUUCAACUGUCACCCCUAGUCUACUGAAUCCAUAUUUUGCCAUAAUUUUGGCUACUCUCAUGUUGGCCCUGAUCAUCAUUGGAGUCCCAGGAAUUUCAAACUCUGCUUCAAGAGAAAUGUGGACACCUUGGGGAAAAUUAACAGACUUUCAUGGUCAUAGAGCAUCUACUCCUUUCAGAAUGCCAGCAAAUGCACACAAGAGCUCCCAAACACUUCUUACAAUCAGGGGCAAGAUGCCCUUCCAUGCACCAAAAACCAAGGUGGAAAAGCUCCUGCCAACCUGAGCAGCACAAGGCAGAGGGGAGGCAGCGGCUGACCUCCUGGGCAACCUGCAAUGACAACCUGACAGCAGACCGGCUGGACUCUCCAGACUGCCGCCAGAUAUGUCACGGGAUGCUUCUCAGGCUCAAGAAUUUAAUAUUCUUUACAGAAAAUAAAGAGUUGGAUUCUGA